rnacentral:rRNA from 1 species
CAGCAGCCGCGGUAAUACGUAGGGUGCAAGCGUUAAUCGGAAUUACUGGGCGUAAAGCGUGCGCAGGCGGUUAUAUAAGACAGAUGUGAAAUCCCCGGGCUCAACCUGGGAACUGCAUUUGUGACUGUAUAGCUAGAGUACGGCAGAGGGGGAUGGAAUUCCGCGUGUAGCAGUGAAAUGCGUAGAUAUGCGGAGGAACACCGAUGGCGAAGGCAAUCCCCUGGGCCUGUACUGACGCUCAUGCACGAAAGCGUGGGGAGCAAACAGGAUUAGAUACCCCCAGUAGUCCCUGUCUCUUAUU